GAUGAACGCUGGCGGCGUGCUUAACACAUGCAAGUCGAACGGAAAGGCCCUGCUUUUGUGGGGUGCUCGAGUGGCGAACGGGUGAGUAACACGUGAGUAACCUGCCCUUGACUUUGGGAUAACUUCAGGAAACUGGGGCUAAUACCGGAUAUGAGCUCCUGCUGCAUGGUGGGGGUUGGAAAGUUUCGGCGGUUGGGGAUGGACUCGCGGCUUAUCAGCUUGUUGGUGGGGUAGUGGAUUACCAAGGCUUUGACGGGUAGCCGGCCUGAGAGGGUGACCAGCCACAUUGGGACUGAGGUACGGCCCAGACGCCUACGGGAGGCAGCAGGGGGGAAUAUUGCACAAUGGGCGGAAGCCUGAUGCAGCAACGCCGCGUUCGGGAUGACGGCCUUCGGGUUGUAAACCGCUUUCGCCUGUGACGAAGCGUGAGUGACGGUAAUGUAUAAAGAAGCACCGGCUAACUACGUG
rnacentral:rRNA from 1 species